rnacentral:rRNA from 1 species
CAGCCACCUUUUGAAACGCGUCAAAGCGUAACUUUAACACCCAAAAUACCAUUAAUUUUUAUGAACCCCUAAUUUAUAAUGAAUGACUCCAUAUUUAUAUGGAAGACACCAUGCUAGGAUUAGUAACAAGAAUUUAUAAUUCUCCAAAAUGCAAAUAUAAACCAACAUGGAUAGACCAUUGGUAGUUACCGAACCUAAAUUUAAUGCAAUAACAUCCACAAGAAAACUCUGCAGCACUCACUCGUUAACCUAACACCAGCGCAUUACAGGAAAGAUUCAAAAAAAGAGAAGGAAUUCGGCAAAUGACGGCCCCGCCUGUUUACCAAAAACAUCGCCUCUUGACUUAUAAUAAGAGGUCUAGCCUGCCCAGUGAAUUUUAAACGGCCGCGGUAUCCUAACCGCGCGAAGGUAGCAUAAUCACUUGUUCUUUAAAUGGGGACUCGUAUCAACGGCAUCACGAGGGUUUUACUGUCUCCUCUUUUUGAUCAGUGAAAUUGAUCUUCCCGUGAAGAAGCGGGAAUAUUUUUAUAAGACGAGAAGACCCCAUGGAGCUUUAAACCAAAUAACAACUUAACCACUUAUCCCAUAAUAAAUUUAACCCCUGUUAUAAGGUUUUUGGUUGGGGUGACCGCGGAGUAAAGCACAUCCUCCACGACGGAAAGAAUAAAAUCUUUAUUUAAGAACCACACUUCUAGAAAUUAGUAUACUAACGUUUACUGACCCGACAAUCGAUCAACGGACCAAGUUACCCUGGGGAUAACAGCGCAAUCUACUUCGAGAGCUCAUAUCGACAAGUAGGCUUACGACCUCGAUGUUGGAUCAGGGUAUCCCGGUGGUGCAGCCGCUACCGAAGGUUCGUUUGUUCAACGAUUAAAACCCUACGUGAUCUG